rnacentral:rRNA from 1 species
AGUGAACGCUGGCGGUAGGCCUAACACAUGCAAGUCGAACGGCAGCACAGUAAGAGCUUGCUCUUACGGGUGGCGAGUGGCGGACGGGUGAGGAAUACAUCGGAAUCUACUUUUUCGUGGGGGAUAACGUAGGGAAACUUACGCUAAUACCGCAUACGACCUACGGGUGAAAGCAGGGGAUCUUCGGACCUUGCGCGAUUGAAUGAGCCGAUGUCGGAUUAGCUAGUUGGGGGGGUAAAGGCCCACCAAGGCGACGAUCCGUAGCUGGUCUGAGAGGAUGAUCAGCCACACUGGAACUGAGACACGGUCCAGACUCCUACGGGAGGCAGCAGUGGGGAAUAUUGGACAAUGGGCGCAAGCCUGAUCCAGCCAUACCGCGUGGGUGAAGAAGGCCUUCGGGUUGUAAAGCCCUUUUGUUGGGAAAGAAAAGCAGCAGGUGAAUACCCCGCUGUUCUGACGGUACCCAAAGAAUAAGCACCGGCUAACUUCGUG